GGUUCCUUGGUGUAGUGGUUAUCACAUUUGCUUUACACGCAAAGGGUCCCGGGUUCGAACCCCGGAGGAACCU